AUUGAACGCUGGCGGCAUGCCUUACACAUGCAAGUCGAACGGCAGCACGGGAGCAAUCCUGGUGGCGAGUGGCGAACGGGUGAGUAAAGUAUCGGAACGUGCCCAGUCGUGGGGGAUAACGUAGCGAAAGUUACGCUAAUACCGCAUACGAUCUAUGGAUGAAAGCGGGGGAUCGCAAGACCUCGCGCGAUUGGAGCGGCCGAUAUCAGAUUAGGUAGUUGGUGGGGUAAAGGCUCACCAAGCCGACGAUCUGUAGCUGGCCUGAGAGGACGACCAGCCACACUGGGACUGAGACACGGCCCAGACUCCUACGGGAGGCAGCAGUGAGGAAUUUUGGACAAUGGGCGAAAGCCUGAUCCAGCCAUGCCGCGUGCAGGAUGAAGGCCUUCGGGUUGUAAACUGCUUUUGUACGGAACGAAAAGGUUUGGCCUAAUAAGCUGAGCUCAUGACGGUACCGUAAGAAUAAGCACCGGCUAACUACGUGCCAGCCGCCGCGGUAA
rnacentral:rRNA from 1 species